rnacentral:rRNA from 1 species
CCUACGGGAGGCAGCAGUGGGGGAUAUUGCACAAUGGGGGGAACCCUGAUGCAGCGACGCCGCGUGGGUGAAGAAGUGCCUCGGCGUGUAAAGCUCUGUCAGCAGGGAAGAAAAUGACGGUACCUGAAGAAGAAGCCCCGGCUAACUACGUGCCAGCAGCCGCGGUAAUACGUCGGGGGCAAGCGUUAUCCGGAUUUACUGGGGGUAAAGGGGGCGGAGACGGCGAUGCAAGCCAGGAGUGAAAGCCGGGGGCCCAACCCCCGGACUGCUCUUGAAACUGUGUGGCUGGAGUGCAGGAGAGGCAGGCGGAAUUCCUGGUGUAGCGGUGAAAUGCGUAGAUAUUAGGAGGAACACCGGUGGCGAAGGCGGCCUGCUGGACUGCAACUGACGUUGAGGCCCGAAAGCGUGGGGAGCAAACAGGAUUAGAUACCCUUGUAGUC